UUUCCCCUGCUGUGUUGGUGAUUGACAGAGUUUGUUGAGCCAACUCUCUUUACAAGGGGGUCUCCUCUUCGCAUAGGGUUGGAAGGAGAGAAAUCUUUUUCCCGAAUAGCGGAUGAGACACCCACCUGGUUUUCCAGGUUCAAUAGAUUUUGUCGACACGGCAUAAGCGGGGGAUUA
rfam:Delta proteobacterium ML8_D scaffold_5, whole genome shotgun sequence.